CCUACGGGUGACAGCAGUCGAGAAUCAUUCACAAUGGGGGAAACCCUGAUGGUGCGACGCCGCGUGGGGGAAUGAAGGUCUUCGGAUUGUAAACCCCUGUCAUGUGGGAGCAAAUUAAAAAGAUAGUACCACAAGAGGAAGAGACGGCUAACUCUGUGCCAGCAGCCGCGGUAAUAAAGAGGUCUCAAGCGUUGUUGGGAAUCACUGGGCGUAAGGCGUGCGUAGGCUGUUUCGUAAGUCGUGUGUGAAAGGCGCGGGCUCAACCCGCGGACGGCACAUGAUACUGCGAGACUAGAGUAAUGGAGGGGGAACCGGAAUUCUCGGUGUAGCAGUGAAAUGCGUAGAUAUCGAGAGGAACACUCGUGGCGAAGGCGGGUUCCUGGACAUUAACUGACGCUGAGGCACGAAGGCCAGGGGAGCGAAAGGGAUUAGAUACCCGGGUAGUC
rnacentral:rRNA from 1 species